GGGGAGAGUAGAAGAGGAGGACAAACCUGUCCCUCGAUUCACUGGCCUGCUGACACAGAAACACCCGGAAAUGAGAAAAUGUCCCUCUGAGUCUGACACAACAUCACAUUAAACUAGGAGAUGAACAUGGUUUAAGGAGAGUGUUGUUGGCUGCAGAGCUCAAAAUAGCAACCGACACUUUAAAUCCAGCUGUGGGAAACCAAGAAAAGUGUGAAAUUAUUAUAAUUGAACAGAAAAUAUUGCAAGAGGUCAGAGUGGCUGCACCUGCAACAAAAGUGUGAAAGAGAGACAGACUAGCUUUUCCCAGUGGCUUCAAGAUAAGCAGCGAAGAACCAGGUGUACAAGGAGCAAUGUUAUGGGAGGGAAUUGAAACUUUUAAGUGGGCUCCAAGCUGAUCGCUCUUUGUGAGAAUGUCAUUGCAUUUCAACUCUUAAAUUCUAUGACCUUGCU